CUAGUUCCUUCGAUAUCGAUGUAAUCUAGUUAGCAAAAUAGCAAAUCAUGAUUACUAGAUUGGAUCGAUAUCGAAGGAACUAGACUCAGUUCCA